rnacentral:rRNA from 1 species
GGGUUGUGAGGUUAAGCGACUAAGCGUACACGGUGGAUGCCCUGGCAGUCAGAGGCGAUGAAGGACGUGCUAAUCUGCGAUAAGCGUCGGUAAGGUGAUAUGAACCGUUAUAACCGGCGAUUUCCGAAUGGGGAAACCCAGUGUGUUUCGACACACUAUCAUUAACUGAAUCCAUAGGUUAAUGAGGCGAACCGGGGGAACUGAAACAUCUAAGUACCCCGAGGAAAAGAAAUCACCCGAGAUUCCCCCAGU